GUUGAGAUAUUUUGUGAUCCUGAUAUGUAUUUUUCUGUUGUUGUUUUUAGACUUUUCUGCAAUAUGUCAUCUGACGAUGAUGAAAGGAAUACGAUGAUAAUAACAUUGUUCAACAAAGGCUUAAAACAAAAGGAAAUCAGCUGUGUACUCAAUUCAUAUGGGCAUAAAAUAAGUGAGAGGCAUCUGAGACGAGUUUUAAAACUUCUAGGGUUGAAGCGAAGAUGCCCCCAACGACCUUUUACUGAAA